UGCUAUCAGCUAAAAAUAUUCAAUACUCCGUAUGUUGGAGUAAUGGAGUGUUCCCUAAGCGCAUAUCUACUUUUCCGGAGCAAUCCUUUAAAGAAAUCUUGCAAUCAGCUCAAGAAUACUUUGCAGGAGUAUCAAACUAAGAAGAUAAGUUUCCAUAUUCUCUACGUAAAUAUUGGUAUUUUUCUUCUCUUCCUCCUUUAAUUAAGUAGUUGAGAAUUAAGUGCCCUAAUAUAUGUGAUGUUAAUCUGAGUAUUGCUUAUUUUAUUUUGUAUAAUUGGUUUUAUUUUUGGUGUUGCGCAAUAAAUUCAAUUGAAAUUGAUAACUUCACCAGGAAAGUUAGAAUUAGGCAAACUUGUCAAAAAAAUACCUUAUAAAAUUGAUAUUUGUUUUUAAAAAAAAAGUACUUUAUAGAAAAACGUUGUAAUUAACUACCUUAUAUUGUAAGAUACGAAUACUACCUUUGGUUGGAUUAUAACAUUGAUUCAAAAUUUCGGGAUUGACUUACUAGGUGUAUCUCACGUGGUAUCUAACAGAAAAAGGGGUAAUUAAGUGGCAUGUAGGAUGCAUAUGUGACAGUCAAUUCCGUAAUUUUAUUUAACAUUCAUAAUUCGGAUAAAUGUAGUAUUCUUACAACAUAAAUUUUUGAUAAGGCAGUUAAUUACAACAUUUUUUUUAUAAGUUAGUUUUUCGCAAAAAAAACUAGUUCGUAUUUUAUAACGUAGUUUUUGACAAAUUUUCCAAAGAAUUAUUGUACUUAAAUUUUUGACAAUUUGGGUUUUAAGAGAAGUUGAAGGGGAAAUGCCUUGAAUCCAUUGGGUGCAGAAUCAUUUGUAAUUUGGUUUUGGAGUAAUAAGUGGUACCUUAUGCUUUAAUUUGUAGAGCAAUGAAAUUUGGUUUAAAAUUGAUUCUCCAACUCUUUGGCGACUGAAACAUCCAUGUGCCUAAAUUCUUCAUCUCAUAGUGCUGCUCGAAUGUAAUUCGAUUCAAGAUAUAUGAUAGGCUUAUUGUUUGGUUAAUUUUAAAAGGUUCCAUAAAUCUAAAAAUGGAAUGGAAGAAAAUGAAGAAUCAGUCCUAGUGUUUACUUAUAUAUACCGACUGUCAUUGUUUCAUAAAACAUGCAAUACUUGAGAAGCCGCACAGGCACACACAUACAUGAUGCAUACAUACAUACAUACAUACAUACUCAUUAUAGGUAAAUGGGUUGCUUCCCUUCCAAACACAACAGAAAACCUCAUUUGAUCAGUUUGAGUCCGGAAGAAGAUGAUGAGCUCACUUCCCGACCACCUUCUUUCCCACAUACUAUGUUUCCUCCCAUCCAUUCAUUUUGCCGUCGCCACCUCUGUCUUAUCCCGGCGAUGGCGUUACCUUUGGAUGGGAGUUGUCAGCUUCAAAUGCACCAAACCCCUUAGAGGACUUAAAACCCUCUGCCCCAUUCUUCAUCUCACUUCCUCCAAACUCUCUAUCUGUUUUUUGAGCUUUAUGAUAAGUCUUCUUCUGUGGAUGUUAACGACUUGAAAUUGUGCCUUGGAAAUUACCUACAACAAUAGAGCCUUACAUACCAGAUGAUUCCUCUCUAAAAUUGUUGGGGUUGGAAAGAUAUGCAAGCAUGGAUAUGAACCUAGCCAAUUUCGUAUUGAUGCACCCAAAUUGGCAGACCUAAUGGAGCGGUUCAUAUUACUUGUUUGUUAGGAAUCGUACUCAAUUUGUCUCAGAUUGUGUUGACAUCACCCCUGAAUUAAGCAUUAGGAUGAGGACAGAUGCAGAACAUUACCUAUUUCAGAUGCGAAAGUUUCUUCAAGGAAUGUGUCAUGCUAAUAAUGUUCACUUAGGUGGCGACGGCGAUGUAUUACCUUACCACCAUACAAUUAAUGAUGAGGUUAAGCCAAUGUUUCAUAAUCUUACCUGU